rnacentral:rRNA from 1 species
GGGUUGUGAGGUUAAGCGACUAAGCGUACACGGUGGAUGCCCUGGCAGUCAGAGGCGAUGAAGGACGUGCUAAUCUGCGAUAAGCGUCGGUAAGGUGAUAUGAACCGUUAUAACCGGCGAUUUCCGAAUGGGGAAACCCAGUGUGUUUCGACACACUAUCAUUAACUGAAUCCAUAGGUUAAUGAGGCGAACCGGGGGAACUGAAACAUCUAAGUACCCCGAGGAAAAGAAAUCAACCGAGAUUCCCCCAGUAGCGGCGAGCGAACGGGGAGCAGCCCAGAGCCUGAAUCAGUGUGUGUGUUAGUGGAAGCGUCUGGAAAGGCGCGCGAUACAGGGUGACAGCCCCGUACACAAAAAUGCACAUAUUGUGAGCUCGAUGAGUAGGGCGGGACACGUGGUAUCCUGUCUGAAUAUGGGGGGACCAUCCUCCAAGGCUAAAUACUCCUGACUGACCGAUAGUGAACCAGUACCGUGAGGGAAAGGCGAAAAGAACCCCGGCGAGGGGAGUGAAAAAGAACCUGAAACCGUGUACGUACAAGCAGUGGGAGCCUCUUUUAUGGGGUGACUGCGUACCUUUUGUAUAAUGGGUCAGCGACUUAUAUUCUGUAGCAAGGUUAACCGAAUAGGGGAGCCGAAGGGAAACCGAGUCUUAACUGGGCGUUAAGUUGCAGGGUAUAGACCCGAAACCCGGUGAUCUAGCCAUGGGCAGGUUGAAGGUUGGGUAACACUAACUGGAGGACCGAACCGACUAAUGUUGAAAAAUUAGCGGAUGACUUGUGGCUGGGGGUGAAAGGCCAAUCAAACCGGGAGAUAGCUGGUUCUCCCCGAAAGCUAUUUAGGUAGCGCCUCGUGAACUCAUCUCCGGGGGUAGAGCACUGUUUCGGCAAGGGGGUCAUCCCGACUUACCAACCCGAUGCAAACUGCGAAUACCGGAGAAUGUUAUCACGGGAGACACACGGCGGGUGCUAACGUCCGUCGUGAAGAGGGAAACAACCCAGACCGCCAGCUAAGGUCCCAAAGUCAUGGUUAAGUGGGAAACGAUGUGGGAAGGCCCAGACAGCCAGGAUGUUGGCUUAGAAGCAGCCAUCAUUUAAAGAAAGCGUAAUAGCUCACUGGUCGAGUCGGCCUGCGCGGAAGAUGUAACGGGGCUAAACCAUGCACCGAAGCUGCGGCAGCGACGCUGAUGCGUUGUUGGGUAGGGGAGCGUUCUGUAAGCCUGUGAAGGUGUGCUGUGAGGCAUGCUGGAGGUAUCAGAAGUGCGAAUGCUGACAUAAGUAACGAUAAAGCGGGUGAAAAGCCCGCUCGCCGGAAGACCAAGGGUUCCUGUCCAACGUUAAUCGGGGCAGGGUGAGUCGACCCCUAAGGCGAGGCCGAAAGGCGUAGUCGAUGGGAAACAGGUUAAUAUUCCUGUACUUGGUGUUACUGCGAAGGGGGGACGGAGAAGGCUAUGUUGGCCGGGCGACGGUUGUCCCGGUUUAAGCGUGUAGGCUGGUUUUCCAGGCAAAUCCGGAAAAUCAAGGCUGAGGCGUGAUGACGAGGCACUACGGUGCUGAAGCAACAAAUGCCCUGCUUCCAGGAAAAGCCUCUAAGCAUCAGGUAACAUCAAAUCGUACCCCAAACCGACACAGGUGGUCAGGUAGAGAAUACCAAGGCGCUUGAGAGAACUCGGGUGAAGGAACUAGGCAAAAUGGUGCCGUAACUUCGGGAGAAGGCACGCUGAUAUGUAGGUGAAGUCCCUCGCGGAUGGAGCUGAAAUCAGUCGAAGAUACCAGCUGGCUGCAACUGUUUAUUAAAAACACAGCACUGUGCAAACACGAAAGUGGACGUAUACGGUGUGACGCCUGCCCGGUGCCGGAAGGUUAAUUGAUGGGGUCAGCGCAAGCGAAGCUCUUGAUCGAAGCCCCGGUAAACGGCGGCCGUAACUAUAACGGUCCUAAGGUAGCGAAAUUCCUUGUCGGGUAAGUUCCGACCUGCACGAAUGGCGUAAUGAUGGCCAGGCUGUCUCCACCCGAGACUCAGUGAAAUUGAACUCGCUGUGAAGAUGCAGUGUACCCGCGGCAAGACGGAAAGACCCCGUGAACCUUUACUAUAGCUUGACACUGAACAUUGAGCCUUGAUGUGUAGGAUAGGUGGGAGGCUUAGAAGUGUGGACGCCAGUCUGCAUGGAGCCGACCUUGAAAUACCACCCUUUAAUGUUUGAUGUUCUAACGUUGACCCGUGAUCCGGGUUGCGGACAGUGUCUGGUGGGUAGUUUGACUGGGGCGGUCUCCUCCUAAAGAGUAACGGAGGAGCACGAAGGUUGGCUAAUCCUGGUCGGACAUCAGGAGGUUAGUGCAAUGGCAUAAGCCAGCUUGACUGCGAGCGUGACGGCGCGAGCAGGUGCGAAAGCAGGUCAUAGUGAUCCGGUGGUUCUGAAUGGAAGGGCCAUCGCUCAACGGAUAAAAGGUACUCCGGGGAUAACAGGCUGAUACCGCCCAAGAGUUCAUAUCGACGGCGGUGUUUGGCACCUCGAUGUCGGCUCAUCACAUCCUGGGGCUGAAGUAGGUCCCAAGGGUAUGGCUGUUCGCCAUUUAAAGUGGUACGCGAGCUGGGUUUAGAACGUCGUGAGACAGUUCGGUCCCUAUCUGCCGUGGGCGCUGGAGAACUGAGGGGGGCUGCUCCUAGUACGAGAGGACCGGAGUGGACGCAUCACUGGUGUUCGGGUUGUCAUGCCAAUGGCACUGCCCGGUAGCUAAAUGCGGAAGAGAUAAGUGCUGAAAGCAUCUAAGCACGAAACUUGCCCCGAGAUGAGUUCUCCCUGACCCUUUAAGGGUCCUGAAGGAACGUUGAAGACGACGACGUUGAUAGGCCGGGUGUGUAAGCGCAGCGAUGCGUUGAGCUAACCGGUACUAAUGAACCGUGAGGCUUAACCUUACAACGCCGAAGCUGUU